AUGGAAAUCUUUCCAAUGCUGUUUGUUAUCUCAGCAUUUCUCUUCUCCAUUCUAAGCACCUCCACUACCGGUAUACAAGACAUCACUACCAUUAGUCUAAGAGUAUCAAUCAAAGAUGGAGGGAGUACCUUAGUUUCAGCUGGAGGAAGUUUCGAGUUGGGAUUCUUUAGCCCUGGUAGUUCAAAGAGCCGAUAUGUGGGAAUAUGGUACAAGGACAUAUCUCCUCAGAAACUUGUAUGGGUGUGCAACAAAGAAACUCCCCUUACUGAUCACUCAGGGGCUUUGAAUCUCACUAGCCAAGGAGUUCUUGUUUUGUUCACUGGCAAACAUAGUAUUGUCUGGUCAUCAUCCAACAAGACCUCAAGCACAAGUAACCCAGUUGCUCAACUCUUGGACUCGGGCAACUUUGUUGUGAAAGAUGGAUCAAAUGAGGACUCGAAGAUUCUGUGGCAGAGCUUUGAUUAUCCAAGUGACACCUUACUACCAGGAAUGAAGAUCGGAUGGGACUUAAAAUCCGGCCUAAACAGGUUUCUGUCGUCUUGGAAAGGAGCAGAAGAUCCUGCUCCAGGACAGUUUUCAUUUUCUAUCGAUCGUAGUGGGUAUCCCCAACUAGUUCUUAUGAAUGGUUCCAUACCACAUUUUAGGUUGGGGUCAUGGAAUGGCCUUGGCUUCACAGGAAGUCCUCAACUUAGAUCUCAGAACCAAUUCUUCAAACUCGACUUUGUGUCGAAUGAGAAUGAAGUCUACUACAAAUAUGAGCUCCUGAGCACUUCAGUUGAAUCAAGACUAGUGCUCAACAGGUCAGGUGACUUGCAACGCUUCAUGUGGAGUGGCACAACAAAUAUCAAUCGUGUCAUUUACUCGGCUCCCGUAGAUCACUGUGACGCUUAUAAUUUCUGUGGUGCAUUUGCUCUCUGCAGUAUUGAUUCUCCUCAUUUAUGUGCAUGCUUACAGGGUUUUGCACCAAAUUCUCUGCAGAAAUCUUGUCAUCGGAAAACUCCAUUGAGUUGCAAUGAGUACAAAGAUGGUUUUAAGAAAUUCACAAGGGUGAAAUUGCCAGACACAACUUUGUCCUGGUUUGACUUGACAAUGACCCUUGGGGAAUGUGAGCAAACUUGUUUGAAGAACUGCUCUUGCACUGCUUAUGCAAAUUCGGAUGCAAGGGAAGGAGGAACUGGCUGUUUGCUCUGGUUUGGUGAACUCAAUGACAUACACGAAUUCGAUACUGGUGGGCAAGACCUAUUUGUAAAACUGGGUGACAUAAAGACAAACAAGAGAUCUAGCAUGAAGAAGCAGGUGGCUAUAAUAGUCAGCUUUGGGUUAUUUGUCAUGGGAGUGCUUAUACUAGGGUUGGUUUUCUACAUACGGAAGAAGAAAUCAAGAGUAAAUAAGAAGUACAUCCAUGGAAACAUUGAAGGUGGUAAUGACGAUAUGGAGUUGCUAAAAUUUGAUUUGUGCACCAUAUCUAGAGCAACAGAUGACUUCUCGGACAAUUAUAAACUGGGAGAAGGUGGUUUUGGACCAGUAUACAAGGGCACGUUGAAAGAAGGGGAAGACAUGGCAGUGAAAAGGCUUUCGAAAUGUUCUGGACAAGGAAUAAAAGAAUUCAUGAAUGAAGUAAUGUUGAUUGCCAAACUCCAGCACAGAAAUCUUGUGAAGCUUCUUGGUUGCUGCGUUGAAGGAGAUGAAAAAAUGUUAAUUUAUGAAUACAUGCCUAACAGAAGCUUGGACUACUUCAUAUUUGAAGACACAAGAAAAAAAGUGCUUGGUUGGGCUCAACGCAGCAACAUUAUCGGAGGAAUAGCUCGAGGCCUUCUCUAUCUUCAUCAAGAUUCUAGACUGAGGAUCAUCCACAGAGAUCUUAAAACUGGUAAUGUUUUACUAGAUAAAGAUAUGAACCCAAAAAUAUCUGAUUUUGGGACGGCCAGAGCAUUCGGAGGAGAUCAAACUGAGGAAAAUACUAAAACAGUGGUUGGAACAUAUGGUUAUAUGUCACCUGAGUACAUGGUUGAUGGGCUCUUCUCUAUCAAAUCUGAUGUCUAUAGCUUUGGUGUCAUGGUAUUGGAAAUAGUCAGUGGGAAAAAGAACAGGGGAUAUAUUCAUCCAGACCACCAACUUAACCUUCUAGGACAUGCUUGGACUCUAUGGACUGAAGGAAGACCACUGGAAGUAAUAGAUAAGCAGUUGGGUCAGUCUUGUGCUCUAUCAGAAGUGUCCCGAUGUAUUCACAUAGCUCUCUUAUGUAUGCAACAACAACCAGAAGAUAGGCCACACAUGGCAACUGUGGUCUUAAUGUUGGGCGGAGAGGGUUCACUGCCUGUGCCGAAGCAACCUGGUUUCUUUACUGAAAGGAAUCCGUUUGAAGCAGAGAACUCAUCAUCAAGCAAAUUGGAAUCACAUUCGAUAAAUGACAUGAGUAUAACAGAGUUAGAGUGUUGCUUGAUUAGAUUGAGCGCAAAGACAAUUUAUCCCUCGCAGUCUAUCCGUGAUGAUGGCAGCACCUUGGUUUCAAGUGAUGGAAGCUUUGAGCUGGGGUUCUUCAGUCCAGGUAACUCGAAAAGUCGUUACUUGGGAAUUUGAUACAAAAACAUUCCAGUCAAAACUGUUGUUUGGGUUUCGAAUCGAUGCAACCCGGUUAUUGACUCGUUCGGUGUGUUGAUGAUAAACAGCACCGGAUAUCUUGUGCUGUUGGGUCAGAAUAAGAGUGUUUGGUGGACAAUUUUAGCUAAGUAUGCAGAAAGUGUAAUGGUACAGCUAUUAUAUUCUGGAAAUUAAGUAGUAAGAGAUGUGACAGGUGGAAAGUCAUUGUGGCAAAGUUUCGAUUAUCCUUCUGAUACAUUGUUACCGGAAAUGAAGUUGGGAUGGGACUUCAGGACAUAUCUUAAAAGGGAAAUAUCAGCAUGGAAGAAUUCAGAAGAUCCAUGUCCAGGAGAAUUCACUUAUGGGAUUGAAAUGGAACCUCAUGCAUACCCUGAAGCAUAUUUUCGGAAAGAUGGUGUGAAAUAUUAUCGUUCUGGCCCAUGGAAUGGCUUAAGAUUCAGUGGUGCUCCAGCACUAAGACCUAAUCCGAUUUAUAGUUUCAACUUUGUGUAUAAUGAUGAUGAAGUGUACUACAUGUACAAACUUCAGAACAAGUCUGUAAUUUCGAUAAUGGUAUUAAAUGGAACCACGAGUACACGCGAUCGUGUUACAUGGAUUGAAGCAGAGAAAACUUGGAAGGCCUAUGCAUCAGUACCUAGAGAUUUCUGUGAUCGAUAUGGCCUUUGUGGACCAAAUGUGAAUUGUAUCAUCAGUAACAAUCCAGUAUGUCAAUGUCUACAAGGAUUUGAGCCGAAGUCACCAGAGAAAUGGAAUUUGACAGACUGGUCACUUGGAUGUGUGCGUAACAAACCCUGAGCUGCCAGGAAAGUGAUAAAGAUGAGUUUGUCAAGUUCACUAACUUGAAAUUGCCAGAUACUACAUACUCUUGGGUGAACAGAAGUAUGAACAUCAGGGAAUGCAGAGCCAAAUGCUUGAACAACUGUACCUGCAUGACUUAUACAAGCUCGGAUAUCAGCCAAGGAGGUUCUGGCUGAGCGAUCUGGUUUGGUGAUCUACUAGACAUCAGAAAGUUUCCGGAUGCUGGCCAAGAUCUAUAUAUUCGAAUGUCAGCUUCAGAGAUAGAUGAUGGUAAAGUGAAGACAGGAAUUAUAGUUGCUGCUGUGAUAGCUGCAGUGUUUUCAGGAAUGCUCUUCGUUGGCCACUACUUCCACCGAAGCAGGACCAAUUAA